CGUGUGUGUAAACAAGGCAAUAAAAUAAAACUAGUCGGCGACCCGUGGAAAAAUCCACGGGUUUGUCCCUUCCUUUUAUACCGCCUUGCGUGCUCCUCGCUACUUGCGGUACCAUUUUGCGUAACAGACAGACGUAUACGGGUAUUACAAUAUAGAUUUUUCGCUUAAUAUGUCAAACUGAUGUUAAAUUCAGGUAUUGACUGUCAUUCAUAAUCUGUGAAAUAUGAUCAGCUUUCUGACGUUAUUAUACUUUUCUUCUAACUCUUAAUUAAACCUUUCUAAGAAGUCUUUUUUCUCCGCACUUAUUGUUAAAAUAAUAAUAAAAAUUUCAAUGAUGUUGAAAUGUUGUGUCUUUUACAAAAUCACAGCUAGGAGAUUUACUAAAUGUGAUGCAGAUAAAUAAAAAAAAAUAAAAAAAAAUAGAAAACUUUAUCAGCGUUGACGAUUUUAAAAUGACAGCCGUGUAUUUGAGAGUUUUAUCUCUUGUUUUAUUAUUGUUGUUGGUCACAAGAUUCCUGUUAAAUUCCUUAACUUUCGUUUCUUUGGCAAUUUGUGCUGCAGAUGGAUACAUUGUCGAAGUUUGCGGAAAUUCCACCCAUACCAUCCUUGCGCAGAAUAACUCAGAUAUAGUUUCGGCAGUAGGAACAUUCCUGGAAGCUUUUAAUUCUUUUGUGUUACUCUCAAUAAUAUCGUCGUGGGAGUUGUUUAACUUUAAAAAAUUUAUUUUCAAAUUGUAUCUGAUCGAGCAAAGCUGGGUGUGGUUCUGUUUAGUCAUAAUAGAGUCAAUAAGCGCAAUGUAUACAGAUUUGGUUCAUGCUGGUGCAUACAAAACAUUCCUUGGAGUUUCAACCGUAUUUGAAUUAAGCCUAUCUGCUUUUUUUGCAUUAGCGAUUGGUCGUAUUGAUAGAAAAAUAAUCAAACGUUGGGUAAAUCGAAAUGAGAAUGGGCGUUGGAAGUCUUUCUUUAUUGUCCUUUAUGACGUAACACUGUUAUCUUAUGCAUAUCGCAACCUUGGAUCUUUCUUAUAUGAUACUGCUUUGGUUGCAAGAAGUGUGAGCUUGAUUACUGCAAAAUCAAAUGCGCAAAAAGAUUGGUCAAGUUUUUUAAUUGUAAUGGUUGUUGCUUUGAGAGGAAGCUUUUUAAGAUUUUUUUUUACAACCUUUUUUAAAGAUAGGGAGAAAUGCACUGUUUGUCAGGACAUUGAUUAUGAAGGUGUUGAUGAGGAUAGUAGAAAUGGUGUUACCACAGCUGCUAGAGACAACAAUGCACCAGAGGAGAGUACUUCACAGGCUAGAUAUAGAAACUCAAGAGUGUAUUGAAUAUUUGUUUUAGUGUCAUGAAUCCUUUACUGCACAACGUUUUGGAAAGAAGUCAAACGCUAAACAACUAUUGCAGUAUUAACCUUCGCUGAAAAGUCACUUUUCUGCUGUUUUACGCAUUUUCUCACACUAGGACGGAGUUAAGAUGUACUCACACUAGGACGAAGUUAAGAUGUACUCACACUAGGACGGAGUUGAUGUACACUUCUUGGUUAAUACAAGGAACUGCAUACAAACAUUUUUAUCAAGUUUUUUACGAUUUUUUGUAUUUGUAACAGUCGAGUAAAACUGCAGACUAGGAUGUGAACUCAUAAUAGUGCGGGCGAAACUGAGGGUGAAAAUAAUUGAUUUGGGGUGAACUUAUUUUUUUAAUUUUGUUUUUUUAAGAAGUAAGACUGCUGCUGAUAUGUUCAGAAUUUAAUUCAGAAAUAUGCCUCCGUAAUAUAGCAACUGUUUAGUUAUGCAUGCAUACAUACUUAAUAAAGAUAAAUUACGCAGCAAUGAUGUUGGCCAAAGUAGCUAGAGGUUUUGAGCAUCCUUGUCUCCAGGGUUUUUUACCUGCUAUCAAAGCCAGUAGCGCUUACUUGACAGUUUCUCGGCCGGACUCGGCAAGAUAUCCGGGGAAUAAGGUUGAUAUAAGGUUGGGAGGGAGCGCCGGGGUUUAAGGAUAAUAAAAACAAGUAGUCCAGACUGUUUUGCCUAAUAAAAGGGUUUACCAGAAAGCUUGGAACAUACCUAAUUACAUACUAUAAGCUAUGAUAAACGUCAACUACCGCUCUAAUAAUCGGCUGGAGAAAGUAGAGGAUGAGGAAAGUAAUGAAAAGCCUCGAACAACGUAAAUACGGGAAUCUUUCUCGUUUCGUAAACCAAUUAAUUCACGCUAAUUAAUUCGAACAAUCACUAAAUAUUUGACACAGUAAGUCUCUCUUGCUUUUAUGUUUUUAGACUAAUGUAAACAUUUUUAUUGUUCCUCAGAUAGCUAGAGGUUCGAGUUAUAACUUAAUAUCACCAGCCAUAGAUUUUUCAUUAAGAAAAUGAUAAAGAAAGUUAGAAGUGUUUAAACAAAUUUGUGAUGGUUGUCUGAAUGCAUGAUAAUAACGAUAUAAUGAUAGUAUUUUAAUUGAAGUGGAUAUGACCACAAAAAUGAAGGAAAGCAUAAAAAUAUUAAAAAUGGCGGCAUGUUAGCGUUACAAAAGUGAUAGUGAUUAAAUUUAAGAGAGAUGGUUAGAUUGUAAAUAAGAGAAAAAGGACUUGUGACGAAGUUGAUGAUCAACAUAGCUUAUAAAUGAUGCGGUUAAAAUAUUUUUCUUAUAACUUAGUAAUUGAAUCUUUCUACGAAUUAUUCCAAACACGGGGGUAUAAACGCAUUUUUAUUUAAAUAACCACGAACAAUUGUUGUGAGAUAUUUACGUAUUUUUUAAUAAAUGAACUUAUAGUUGCAAUGCAAAGUGUUCAUGAAAAGCUUAUCAAAAAACUUUACAUGUUUUGAAUUUCUAACAUUUGCUUUGAUAGCACCAAAGCAAUUUCAAAAUGGUUGCUGUGUAUUUGAGAGUUUCAUCUCUUGUUUUAUUAUUGUUGUUAGUCACACGAUUCCUGUUGAGUUCUUUAACUUUCGCAUCCAGCGCAGUUUGUGCUGCGGAUGGCUUCAUUCUCGAAGCUUGUCAGAACUCUACCCAUACCAUUCUUGUGCAAAGAAACUCAGAUGCUGUUGUGGCGGUGGGUGCGUUCAUGGAAGCUUGUAACUCCUUCAUUUUACUCAUAAUAAUAUCACUAUGGAAAUAUUUUGAUUUUAAAACAUUUAUAAUUAACUUGUAUGUUAUUGAGCAAAGUUGGGUAUGGUUCGGUUUAGUUACGCUCCAAUCAAUAGCAGCUAUGUAUACAGAUUUGGUCCAUGCUGGUAUAUACAAAACAUUUCUUGGAAUUUCAACUGUUUUCGAAAUAUUUCUUUCGGCUAUCCUGGCGUUGGCAAUUAGUCGUAUAGAAAGAAAAAUAAUUAAAAACUGGAUAAACCAAACGGAGAAGGGAUAUUGGAACAAGUUAUUUAUUAUUCUCUAUGAUGUUACGCUGUUAUCAUAUGUAUUCGGCCAUCUUGGUUUCCUUUUGUAUGAUACCGCUUUGGUUGCAAGAAGUGUGAGUUUGUCCAAUGCGAAAUCAAAUGCAAAAAAAGAUUGGACAAGUUUUUUACUUGUAAUGUCUGUUGCUUUGAGAGGAAGUUUUGCUGGGUUUUUCUUCACCACGUUCUUCAAAGACAGGAAGAAAUAUAAAGUCUGUUCAGAUGAAUUUGCAUCAAAUGGAGAUGUUCUUGUCAACGAACCGACGCUUGCCACCUGAAAUCUUAUCAUUACAAUGUCGCUGCACUGGAGUUCUCUUCAAAAAAAGAAAAAACAAAGCAAGUAUAUCUCAAACUCGUUCCCAGUCCUUUGUAACAUCGGUGGAUCAGUAAUAAACAUAUAACGCAUGGAAAGAUUUGUGAGGUUAUUAGUUAAAAUGCAGAAGUCGGUUGGAGCUAUCUACGAUGUUAAACACAACAAUACGGUUGUUGAAGAUAAUAAUUCGGUUUGUCUGUUCAGUAUUUAAAUUAUUGUUGAAAGUUUAUCACCACAUGAUAGUGUAGUAGGCGACAUUUCGGGAGAUCCUUCUUUCAUCAUCAGCUCUAGUAAACUAUCAUGUUCAAGAAAUGAUAAACCUUCAACAAUAACAAUAAAGACAGUUUGAUUUGUCUUUAAAAAUCCUUGCAUGAGUUUCACAUGUAAGGCGUUUGGUUGUGUGUAUCAUUCACGUCUUAUAACUGCUAUCGUAAAGUGUAUUAUGCUCUUUUUAUAUGAAGAUAAUGGAAUGGAAAGUAAAAACAUAUGAAGAUAAUGAGAAGGAAGAGAUUUUUCUGACUUUUUCUUUUUCAUUAAACAAAAACACAACAAACCUGGGAGAAAAUAAUCUUCUCCCCAUGGCAUUUUAGCAUUGUGAUUAUUUUGUUAGCGGAGAAAAGUGUCACGUGCUCAGUCUAUACCAUGGGGUAAUCUGUAUUAUGGGGUAAAGACUAAAAAUGGUGUGACUUUUAUUUCCUUACAAAAUGGUUGUGGAAAAUUAGAGAAUCGUUUUUAUAUUCGUAGAUGUAGAUUUAUAUAAAGAAAUAUAUUUUCUGAUGUGA